rnacentral:rRNA from 1 species
GAUGAACGCUGGCGGCGUGCCUAAUACAUGCAAGUCGAGCGAACGGACGAGAAGCUUGCUUCUCUGAUGUUAGCGGCGGACGGGUGAGUAACACGUGGAUAACCUACCUAUAAGACUGGGAUAACUUCGGGAAACCGUAGCUAAUACCGGAUAAUAUUUUGAACCGCAUGGUUCAAAAGUGAAAGACGGUCUUGCUGUCACUUAUAGAUGGAUCCGCGCUGCAUUAGCUAGUUGGUAAGGUAACGGCUUACCAAGGCAACGAUGCAUAGCCGACCUGAGAGAGUGUUCGGCCACACUGGAACUGAGACACGGUCCAGACUCCUACGGGAGGCAGCAGUAGGGAAUCUUCCGCAAUGGGCGAAAGCCUGACGGAGCAACGCCGCGUGAGUGAUGAAGGUCUUCGGAUCGUAAAACUCUGUUAUUAGGGAAGAACAUAUGUGUAAGUAACUGUGCACAUCUUGACGGUACCUAAUCAGAAAGCCACGGCUAACUACGUG